UGAAUACUGACGUGUGUGUGUGUGUGUGUGUGUGUGUGUAUUCAUCCUGUGGCGGUAAUUGUCUCUGUUGUUGCUCGGUUUUGCUGAUUGAGGAAUUGUGUGAAUCUAUUUGUGCUCUUUUUAGCGCUGUCACUCUGUGAUGGUGACAAAAGACCAGUGGGGCACAUUCAGAAAAUGAUCAACAUUAUUAAUCAUAUUCAGUUCAUACUUUGGCUGUACUUUCUGCAAGAAUGGAAUCAAUAUAGGAUGUGUUACAGGAAAUUCCUGUGGAAAUCAGGCAGGAGUAGAGAGGGGCUUGUGCAGUUAGAUGCUCUGCUGUGGGUGCAGGAGAUUCCACGUCUCUCAUUGGUGGAGGCGGAAAGAGGCGAGCAGCAACAGCGGCGACAGCAGCGACACACACCUGUCACUGUCACCGCGGCCAGGAGGGAGACGCCGUCUUUCACGCUCAGUAGACCUGUCCACAGUUUGAAACCUUCCACUCCUACC
ensembl:lncRNA